UUAGGUUGAUCCUGCCGGACCUGACUGCUAUCUGAUUGGUACUAAGCCAUGCGAGUCGUUGUAGCAAUACAAGGCGAACUGCUCAGUAACACGUAGUUAACCUAACCUAUGGAUGGGGAUAACCUCGGGAAACUGAGAAUAAUACCCAAUAGAUCACAGUGCCUGGAAUGGCCUGUGAUUGAAAUGAUUUAUCGCUGUAGGAUGGGACUGCGGCCUAUCAGCUUGUUGGUGAGGUAAUGGCCCACCAAGGCUAUAACAGGUACGGGCUCUGAGAGGAGGGGCCCGGAGAUGGGUACUGAGACACGGACCCAGGCCCUAUGGGGCGCAGCAGGCGAGAAACCUUUGCAAUGUGCGAAAGCACGACAAGGUUAAUCCGAGUGUCUCCUGCUAAAGGAGUCUUUUGUCAGUUGUAGAAUCACUGGCGAAUAAGGGGUGGGCAAGUUCUGGUGUCAGCCGCCGCGGUAAAACCAGCACCUCGAGUGGUCAGGAGGUUUAUUGGGCCUAAAGCAUCCGUAGCCGGUUGCAUAAGUUUUCGGUUAAAUCUAUGCGCUCAACGUAUAGGCCGCCGAAAAUACUGUGCAGCUAGGGGAGUGGGAGAGGUCACGGUACUCAGU
rnacentral:rRNA from 1 species